GGCUGGAAUGAUUUAAUUGGGGAUUGGUCCUGUUUGAGCAGGGGGUUGGACUAGAUGACCUCCUGAGGUCCCUUCCAACCCUGAUAUUCUAUGAUUCUAUGCUUCUAUGAUUCUAAUGCUCCUAUCCUUCCUGUGAAAAAGCCAAAACCGGGCCCAGAUGGGCGCCCAGGUUAUCGGUUCGUUCAAGAUCUGCAUGCGAUAAAUAGUUAUGUUAUAACUCCCCACCAAGUGGUCCCUGAUCCGAGUACUGUCCUGACACUGAUUCCCCAGUCGGCCAGUGGUGUCCUAUUGCAGUACCUAGGGGAUUGCCCACGCCCCAUAGUUUCCUAUUCCGUACAAUAGGACCCGGUCAUUCGGGGAUUGGUCUCCUGUGUGCGGUCCAUUGCCGCUGCAGCCCUUAUGGUGGAACGGUCACGCCCUAUUGUUCUGGGCCACCCUUUGACUGUCUGGGUCCCCCACGAAGUUGAGGUUCUCUUAAAACAGCAUACAACGCAAGCGCUGUCUCCGCAGUGGGCCCACCAAUACGAGCGGAUUCUGCUGGAUUCAACUAUUGGGGUCUCCAGACUCCAUCAGGACUGCUUGUUUUCUUGUUACUUGGACUUAUAUUUGUUGUCCUGUUUUGUGCAUGGUACACGGGAGGAUGCAAAUACUGGUAUGGGUGGCCUGUGGAAUCCCCUCUCUCUUCUCGAGUUCGGUACACGGAUGGGAAGGCAACAGCUUCCUGGAUUUAACCCAUGCUGUACCACAGGGGGUUAACCGAAUGCGGUGUUGGGUCUGUAUUCAUACCCCCACGUACAUAGGUCAGGGAAUCCCGUUGGUAAGGGAGCCUAUCCCUCUCAACCGAACCCUCCUGGCCGGAUUAUGGACAGACACUCCAUUUAACUGGAACGUUACAAUCCAAACUUGGUCUAUUGAUAUGGUGGCCCAGGGUAGUUAAGCUUUAUGUGUGUCACGAGGUAAGAAUUUCGAAAAUACAGUUUUUGUGGGUAGCUUUGUAGGGUCCAGUGAUACCACCCGCAUUAGCUCUGGUGCGGCAAGUCCCCCCAAGUAUUCCAGGGCGCCGUGGCCGGUCCCUGAGGGAUCAGGCUGGUUCUGGUUGUGCAAGCACACGGCUUAUAAGGUCCCCCCGGCAGGUUGGUGUGGUACAUGCACCUUAAUACCCGCUGUUACAGUACACCAGACCCUGGCCCAGGGGGAAAUUCGGAACCUGGUAUGGAGGAACCGAGGAAAUGUCCCAUUAAAUCCUCUCUCUGAACGGCCUACAGGCUUUCACUCCUUUGUUCGUUGGUUUUUGCCCUGGGUGGGGGUGAGUGAAUUGGAAAAGGCUACAGUUAAUAUUUCUGCAGCCUUAGAAUUAAUGGCAAAUGCCACUGCAGACGCCUUGUCUACCCUUCAAAUGGAGGUGACUCAGUUAUCUCAGACCACACUGCAGAACCCCUUAGCCUUAGACUAUCUUCUUGCAAACCAGGGGGCGUUUGUACUCUUGUUAACUCAAGCUGUUGUGUCUUUGUGAAUCAACACCGCAGAUUAGAAGUCGAUAUCCACACCCUUAUGCAGCAGGCCACCUCACUUCACCGUGUCACCCUUGAUGACACCAGUACCGGAUUCCAUGAGGCCUGGAGCUGGCUCACCUCCUGGCUGCCAGACUUGGGGGCUUGGGGAAGGCGUAUUUUGUACCUCAUUCUUAUGGCUGUUUCUCUUUUUGUAUUACUUUUUGUAUGCCUACAAUGCUGUAGUAUGUGCUGCCGGCAAAUUUUAAUCUUGCAUCGAGGUUAUUUUGCCUCGAUAUAGUUUACUGACGUACAUAAGAAAAGGAAGGACUGUCAGGGGAAAUCAACCGAGUUAGCAUAUGUGACUCCAUUUUGGGUUUCCUCUCGGCCAUUAACUAGAAGCGAGCACAUCACGUACCAAGGGAGGAGGAUCCUUCAGAGUGGACAGCCGGACAGUUUCAAGAGAAGGGAAACAAAGGAGACAGGAACCAGCCGAGGUGCCUGAAAUAGCUGCUAAUUCAGCUUUUCUGCAGGGGGAAGGUGGCUGCAGGGGAUUGGUGAUAGAUAAGGAGAAGGCCUGUUUAUUGGGUUAGGCCCCCCGAGGCACACAGGGAGGAUGUUUUGCCAACAGUAUAUAAUCUUUGUGUAACCUGUAAUCGGGGUCCCGCUCUGCUUAACGGAGCGGUGCCACGCUCGAGCGUAAUAAACCUACAAACUUUAA